rnacentral:rRNA from 1 species
CGCGUAGGCGGGCUUGUCGGUCAGAUGUGAAAGCCCAGGGCUCAACCCUGGACGUGCAUUUGAAACAGCAAGACUUGAGUACGGGAGAGGAAAGCGGAAUUCCUGGUGUAGAGGUGAAAUUCGUAGAUAUCAGGAGGAACACCGAUGGCGAAGGCAGCUUUCUGGACCGAUACUGACGCUGAGGCGCGAAGGCGUGGGUAGCGAACAGGAUUAGAUACCCUGGUAGUCC